AAAAUUUAAAAUUAAGAUACUAAAAUAGUAGGUAAAUAUUUAUUUAAACUUAAAUAAUUUGGCGGUAUUUUAGUUCAUUUAGAGGAAUCUGUUUAAUAAUUGAUAUUCCACGAAUAAAUUUACUUAAUUUAUUAUUUUGUAUAUCGUUGUUAAAAAAAUAUUUUUUAAUAAUAAAUUAAUAUUUAAGAAUUAAUAUAUAAAUUUAAAUCAGAUCAAGAUGCAGAUUAUAAUUAAGAAUAUAAUGGAUUACAAUAAAUUUAUUUAAAUGAAUAUUAAUUUGUAAAAAUUAAUUUAAAGUGGAUUUAAAUGUAAUUUUAUUUAAUUUAAUAAAAUGAUUAAAAAUUAAAAUAUGU
rnacentral:rRNA from 3 species